UCAGCUUCCUUCUGUUUUGAGUUGAAACCCACGGAAUUCCCAGCAUUCCCAACCAUAAGUAAAUAUUUUCUGCCCAAACCUGGGCACUGCAGCAGAGCUGGGUAAGGAAACUGCUGGUUUGUGCCUGGAUACCAAGGGCAGCUGCCUAGAAGGUCAAUGAGGAAUAAUCAAUAAUCUGAGCAGCGAGUUUGACUUUCUCCAGCGAACAACAAGGCUCCCCAACAUCAGAACAGUGCAUCCCCAGGUCCAGCCCUCCGCUGGUGGGAGUCAGCACAGGCGUCACCAGGGCUGCGAGAAGAGCUCCGUUCCACAGACCCGUAGACCAGCAGCACUUAUUUCAACUGAAUUAGCAAGAAAGAAUCCAAUAUGCGGCAAAACUGUUGUUCCAGAGAAAUGUAACAUUCCAGGUCUGGCUCGCAGCCUCCCCCACAUCUCCUGCAGGCAGCAGCUCCCAGGGACCCCAUUGCUGUCCCCAGCAUCAGGCGUUGCAUCUCCUCCAUGGGGCAACAACAUGAAAUGCACAUAGGACUCAGCACAAAGGGCUUCUCUUGGACCUUGGGCAGAUGACCAUGCUGGAAGGCUGGGGAAAUCAGUGCUUAACCAAGCCACAGCUCCUGCUCUGGUAGCUUUCCUGCAUCAACUUUGAGAAUAAUACUGUGGAGACUUUCCAAAUAAUGGGAAAAAGGGAUUUUACGUUGGCCACUAGACCUUGAGAUCCAUGCAGUGCUUCUCCCUGCAAAGAGGAGCUGCUCCAAAGCGCACCAUGGAGGAUGCAAACUCAGUGCCUCUCUGGGUGAGGGACAUUACCUGCUAGUACUGCUCCUGUUGAGCCACCACCUCAUUCCCAUUCUGAGUUCUUCAUCCCCUGCCAAGGAGGGCCUAGGAUUUUCCCAAUCUUUUCAUUUCCCAGAACUGCAGUAUUGAGGCUGGCAGCACCUCUGGAGCCAUCUGGUCCCACUCCUGUUCCAGUGGGGACACCCAGAGAUGUACCCAGGUAGAUGUUGGGGAUCUCCAAGGAGGACACCCCACAGCCUCUGGGCAACCUCUUUGAGCCU
ensembl:lncRNA